AAAGGAAUUGACGGGGGCCCGCACAAGCGGAGGAACAUGUGGUUUAAUUCGAUGAUACGCGAGGAACCUUACCUGGGCUUAAAUGCAGUAUGAUUUUUCUGGAAACAGAAUUUCUCUUCGGAGCAGAUUGCAAGGUGCUGCAUGGUUGUCGUCAGCUCGUGCCGUGAGGUGUCGGGUUAAGUCCCAUAACGAGCGCAACCCCUAUUAUUAGUUGCCAGCGGGUAAUGCCGGGGACUCUAAUAAGACUGCCAGUGUAAACUGUGAGGAAGGUGGGGAUGACGUCAAAUCAGCACGGCCCUUACGUCCAGGGCUACACACGUGUUACAAUGGCCGGUACAAAGAGCAGCUACUUGGUGACAAGAUGCUAAUCUCAAAAACCGGUCUCAGUUCGGAUCGAAGUCUGCAAUUCGACUUCGUGAAGCUGGAUUCGCUAGUAAUCGUAGAUCAGCAAUGCUACGGUGAAUACGUUCCCGGGCCUUGUACACACCGCCCGU
rnacentral:rRNA from 1 species